rnacentral:rRNA from 1 species
AUGGCAGAUAUGGGAUUGGAUGCCUACAAAUUCUCAAUUGCAUGGUCUCGGAUUAUCCCAAAUGGCACCGGUGAGGUCAACCAGGCAGGCAUCGACCACUACAACAAGGUCAUUGAUGCACUCCUAGCAAAAGGGAUUGAGCCAUAUGUUACCCUCUACCACUGGGACCUUUCCCAGGCCCUGGAAGACAAGUACAGUGGGCUGCUUGACAGGCAGAUAAUCAACGACUGCGCGGCGUAUGCAGAGACGUGUUUCAAGGCGUCUGGGGACAGGGUGAAGCAUUGGAUCACCUUCAACGAGCCACACACUGGCGGUGCAGGGCUACGACAGUGGGAUCCACGCGUCGGGUGGCUGCUCUGUGCUCCGCCACCUCUACUGCAAACAAGGGAGCUCCGGCACUGA